GGCAACCAAUUUUACUACUUCAGAGAUCUUAUGCUCUCCUAUCCGUGCCACUCGACAGUACCAAUUAUCAGUCCUGUUGAAACAGUCGUUACAAGCCAGGAAAAACGGCCGCUUGUUCAAGUCCUCCCCAUCACCAACUGUUGGAUGCUUAUCAAAAAAAAGCUUGAAUGCCUUGUAGACUGAGGGAGCAGCUAUUUCAUAGAGAUCCACAGCAGGCUGCUGAUCCAUGUUCUUACAAUUCAUCAGAUCCACUUCGUAGUUUUUGGAAACACGUUGGUUGAAUUUGAGAUAAAAAAAAUUCUGAUUAGAACCAAUAAGAACAAAGAAAACAAAUAAGAAACUACUCAAUUGAAUAUAGCAACCAACAACAUCUUCCAAAAGUGUAAAAUCAGUGAAUCGCAAGUCGUACAAUUCCUUCCUCCCAUGUACAAGAAAGAAAUUCAUGCAGAAUAGUAAGACUAACCGAAACAGUCCAUUAGGACUGUUAGGUAGAAACUCUGGCAAUGUGAGAACUGCCUUAAGCUCAGCCAUCCACAAGUACACAUGCUUUGACCCUGUACUUGUUGGCCUUGUAGUUUCUAGUGUUGCUUUUCAAAUUACAUGGCUAGCAGCGUUCCUAGAAUAAACAAACCAAACCAAACAUAUUAGAACACAAACCACAACAAAAAGAACAAAAAAAGCAAGAUACCUUGCUGUAAGAAACCUUGGAUCAUUCAGGAUGUCAACUUCUUCUUCCAAAACUCCUGUUCUUGCAACUCAGGCUUCUCUUGCCAGCUUCAAUACUCGGUUAAAGCAAAAAAACAUAUCCCUUAGAGUUGUUGGAGGGUAAGGCUUCCCAUCGUCUCUCAAAACAUGCUUGUAGAACAAUGCAAGCUGGUGGGAAAGCUCCUACAGUCAGAGAAAGAUGUAGUCACAAAAAUCAAAAGAAAAAAUAAGAAACAACCUUUGCAGGAAGUUCCUCAAUCAGUCUCAGAUCCUGUAAGGAAAAUUCUGGGCCCUGUGCCUCGUGCCAUGCAUAAAACUUCUAUGUUGCCUACUCAUUCUUCUUUCGGGUCCCUGCUGGUAUAACUAGUUUCAUGGAUUCUCGUCCUCCUCAUUCGGAACAAUUGGUCGAAAAGGUUGGCGGCCAACCUGCAUCAACAAACAAUUUCAACCUGGAGUAUCUAAGCAAAAAGCACUUACCUCUCUCCGACCACGCCCACCACGCCCACCACGCCCACUGCGAUUCCUCCCAGGACAAACCUAUCAAACUCAAACGAUUGCAAGUGAGUAAACAAGAAUACAUAAAAACUAGAGAACCGAAUUCAAGAAAGGAGCUGCGUUCUCAACAAGAUCAGCGGCAUUCUGGGACAAUCCCAGAUCAAAUGAAGGAGGAUCCAUCUACAGAUAGACAAAAUCGAGAGGAUUGAGAAGGAAAAACUAUGAAAUCCAGAGAAAACCAGGAAAUGAGGGCAAACCAGGAUUAUCAGCUCUCAAGCUGCUCUCGACGCAUACAAGCUCCUGCUGCCUUGAGCGCCACAAGAAACUGCUGCAAAAUUCCUGAAACACACGGACAAGGAGCAGAUCUGGAUCAAUCUAGUUGCUAUGCCUCAGAUCUGACCUUGGCAAGCUGCUGCUGCCCUGCCGCUGCUGCUGACGCCUUGCCGCUACUGCUUUGUCGCUGCCAUUGCCGCUUCUGAGAGAAUCCGACAGCCUCACGGCGUCGGCACAAAAAACCCUAAAACCCUAGAAAACAUGUUAUAUGUGACUUUUAGCCACGUGUUCUAUGUUCAUUCGACCGCUCUCAUCCUCGAAUAACGUUAUUCCAUGUGUCCGUUAACGGUCUCGCCACAGCUUGUUAAGGCUGUUCCCGGGCACGGGCUUGCACGUUCCCUCCAGAACGCGCUUGCCGGGCUAACGCCCGGCUCGCCCGUUCUAGGCGGGAACGUGCUCGCCCUACUUAGGAACUCCUUCUUAACGGGCUGUGGCUCGCCCGUUAACUUGAUCCAGCCGUUGGCAGCCGUCGGAUCAAGUCAAGCUCUCUACGAGAAUUUUACUGUUGUCAGCCACAUUCUGGAGAACGUGGUUGACAGCUACCAAAUUCUCGAGAACCCACCUGCCAGCCGCCAGGUUCUGGAGAACGUGGCUGCUGUCAUCCAGGUUCUAGAGAACUUGGCUGCCAGUAACCACGUUCUCCAAUCAGACGAGAUGCAAUUGCUUUUUUAUUUUUUAAUCAAAGCAAGCUUGAAUAAUUCAAGCUCACUUUGGCUAUGACCAUUGACUACAAUCACAUAAUUACUCACAGAACAGUGGUGAAAUGUGCUAGUGAUCGUUGGUAGUGCUAAAGCUUUUACAGCUCUUGGAUCUUUCGCAAGAGCUAAAAGUAGCUCAUUGUCAUCAAGAUCUACCAAAUAACAUCAAAAGUUAGAAAUAAAGAAUUCAAAUCAAAUAAACUUUAACUUUGUCUCUAGAAAUGGAUUCCUGCUGCUCGCCAUGCUCCAGCAUAGGCUCUGGCAUAGUCUCGUGCACAGUCUCGUGUUGCUUGUCGUGUCCACCUGAAACGAAGAAAAAACUAAAUUGAAAGACAAAAGGAAAGAAAGAAUUUUCUUACCUUACUGCUCUUCAAUCACGUCCAGAACUUGGUGGUGAUUCAGUUCCUUUUCGUGGAUCUCUUCUCUUGGAGAAGGCUGUUGCUGCCCAGAACCACCUAAAAUCGAGAAAAGAGAAAAGUCCAUUAUAAAGAUUAUAAAGUUUCUUACCAAAAUUUUGUUGUUGCUGCUCACGAUUUUGAGUCUGUUGAUUGUCAUUUCCACCUGAAUUGAAGAGUGUUAAACCUCCACAAAAAAAAAAAGCUUUGAAUUACCAAAAGAAACAAGAUGGCAAUCUGGAAGAUCCAAUGGAUCUUCAUUUAAAGGUUUACCAGCCUCAUAGCACCAUACAAUAUACUCCGAUGCUUUCCGAAAUUUGUCUUGGUAGUUUUUCAAACGACCAGUAUGAUCAUACCGGUUAUACAGAAUAGAUGACAUUGCCAUUCUCCUUGCUUUCCCAGAGUGAUCGUACCUGUUAAAAAAAGAGGCAUUAAUGACAAAAUGGUUAGCAAAAACCUUACUGUUCCAUGUUUUCCACCCUCUUGUGUCCCAUCAGCUUCAUAUAGUCUUUCAUUGGAGUGUUGCAAACACUCAUAGUUGUAAUUGCUGAAUGCCGAAUAUCUUUCGCUGAAAGGCUCAAACCUGGAGAAAAAAAACUAUGAGAAAACAAGAAAGCAGUUAGUUAAUUACCUGUUUUUUCGGCAACCAAUUUUACUACUUCAGAGAUCUUAUGCUCUCCUAUCCGUGCCACUCGACAGUACCAAUUAUCAGUCCUGUUGAAACAGUCGUUACAAGCCAGGAAAAACGGUCGCUUGUUCAAGCCCCCCCAUCACCAACUGCUGGAUGCUUAUUAGAAAAAAGCUUGAAUGCCUUGUAGACUAAGGGAGCAGCUAUUUCAUAGAGAUCCACAGCAGGCUGCUGAUCCAUGUUCUUACAAUUCAUCAGAUCCACUUCGUAGUUUUUGGAAACACGUUGGUUGAAUUUGAGACAAAAAAAAUUCUGAUUAGAACCAAUAAGAACAAAGAAAAAAAAAAAGAAACUACUCAACUGAAUAUAGCAACCAACAACAUCUUCCAAAAGUGUAAAAUCAGUGAAUCGCCUGUCGUACAAUUCCUUCCUCCCAUGUACAAGAAAGAAAUUCAUGCAGAAUAGUAAGACUAACCGAAACAGUCCAUUAGGACUGUUAGGUAGAAACUCUGGCAAUGUGAGAACUGCCUUAAGCUCAGCCAUCCACAAGUACACAUGCUUUGACCCUGUACUUGUUGGCCUUGUAGUUUCUAGUGUUGCUUUUCAAAUUACAUGGCUAGCAGCGUUCCUAGAAUAAACAAACCAAACCAAACAUAUUAGAACACAAACCACAACAAAAAGAACAAAAAAAGCAAGAUACCUUGCUGUAAGAAACCUUGGAUCAUUCAGGAUGUCAACUUCUUCUUCCAAAACUCCUGUUCUUGCAACUCAGGCUUCUCUUGCCAGCUUCAAUACUCGGUUAAAGCAAAAAAACAUAUCCCUUAGAGUUGUUGGAGGGUAAGGCUUCCCAUCGUCUCUCAAAACAUGCUUGUAGAACAAUGCAAGCUGGUGGGAAAGCUCCUACAGUCAGAGAAAGAUGUAGUCACAAAAAUCAAAAGAAAAAAUAAGAAACAACCUUUGCAGGAAGUUCCUCAAUCAGUCUCAGAUCUUGUAAGGACAAUUCUGGGCCCUGUGCCUCGUGCCAUGCAUAAAACUUCAAUGUUGCCUACUCAUUCUUCUUUCGGGUCCCUGCUGGUAUAACCAGUUUCAAUGGAUUCUCGUCCUCCUCAUUCGGAACAAUUGGUCGAAAAGGUUGGCGGCCAACCUGCAUCAACAAACAAUUUCAACAUGGAGUAUCUAAGCAAAAAGCACUUACCUCUCUCCGACCACGCCGACCACGCCCACCACGCCCACUGCGAUUCCUCCCAGGACAAACCUAUCAAACUCAAACGAUUGCAAGUGAGUAAACAAGAAUACAUAAAAACUAGAGAACCGAAUUCAAGAAAGGAGCUGCGUUCUCAACAAGAUCAGCGGCAUUCUGGGACAAUCCCAGAUCAAAUGAAGGAGGAUCCAUCUACAGAUAGACAAAAUCGAGAGGAUUGAGAAGGAAAAACUAUGAAAUCCAGAGAAAACCAAGAAAUGAGGGCAAACCAGGAUUAUCAGCUCUCAAGCUGCUCUCGACGCACACAAGCUCCUGCUGCCUUGAGCGCCACAAGAAACUAUUGCAAAAUUCCUGAAACACACGGACAAGGAGCAGAUCUGGAUCAAUCUAGCUGCUAUGCCUCAGAUCUGACCUUGGCAAGCUGCUGCUGCCCUGCCGCUGCUGCUGACGCCUUGCCGCUACUGCUUUGCCGCUGCCACUGCCACUUCUGAGAGAAUCCGACAGCCUCACGACGUCGGCACAAAAACCCUUAAAACCUAGAAAACAUGUUAUAUAUGACUUUUAGCCACGUGUUCUAUGUUCAUUCGACCGCUCUCAUCCUCGAAUAACGUUAUUCCAUGUGUCCGUUAACAGUCUUGCCACAGCCUGUUAAGGCCGUUCCCGGGCACGGGCUUGCACGUUCCCUCCAGAACGCACUCGUCGGGCUAACGCCCGGCUCGCCCGUUCUGGGCGGGAACGUGCUCGCCCUACCCGGGAACUCCUUCUUAACGGGCUGUGGCUCGCCCGUUAACUUCAUCCAGCCGUUGGUAGCUGUCGGAUCAAGUCAAGCUCUCUGCGAGAAUUUUACUAUUGUCAGCCACAUUCUGGAGAACGUGGCUGACAGCUACCAGAUUCUAGAGAACCCACCUGCCAGCUGCCAGGUUCUGGAGAACCUGGCUGCUGUCAUCCAGGUUCUAGAGAACUUGGCUGCCAGUAACCACGUUCUCCAAUCAGACGAGAUGCAAUUGCUUUUUUAUUUUUUAAUCAAAGCAAGCUUGAAUAAUUCAAGCUCACUUUGGCUAUGACCAUUGACUACAAUCACAUAAUUACUCACAGAACAGUGGUGAAAUGUGCUAGUGAUCGUCGGUAGUGCUAAAGCUUUUGCAGCUCUUGCAUCUUUCACAAGAGCUAAAAGUAGCUCAUUGUCGUCAAGAUCUACCAAAUAACAUCAAAAGUUAGAAAUAAAGAAUUCAAAUCAAAUAAACUUUACCUUUGUCUCCAGAAAUGGAUUCCUACUGCUCGCCAUGCUCCGGCACAAGCUCUGGCACAGUCUCGUGCACAGUCUCAUGUUGCUUGUCGUGUCCACUUGAAACAAAGAGAAAACUAAAUUGAAAGAAAAAAGGAAAGAAAGAAUUUUCUUACCUUACUGCUCUUCAAUCACAUCCAGAACUUGGUGGUGAUUCAGUUCCUGUUCGUGGAUCUCUUCUCUUGGAGAAGGCUGUUGCUGCCCAGAACCACAUAAAAUCGAGAAAAGAGAAAAGUCCAUUAUAAAGAUUAUAAAGUUUCUUACCAAAAUUUUGUUGUUGCUGCUCACGAUUUUGAGUCUGUUGAUUGUCAUUUCCACCUAAAUUGAAGAGUGUUAAACCUCCACAAAAAAAAAAAGCUUUGAAUUACCAAAAGAAACAAGAUGGCAAUCUUGAAGAUCCAAUGGAUCUUCAUUUAAAGGUUUACCAGCCUCAUAGCACCAUACAAUAUACUCCGAUGCUUUCCGAAAUUUGUCCUGGUAGUUUUUCAAACGACCAGUACGAUCAUACCGGUUAUACAGAAUAGAUGACAUCGCCAUUCUCCUUGCUUUCCCAGAGUGAUCGUACCUGUUAAAAAAAGAGGCAUUAAUGACAAAAUGGUUAGCAAAAACCUUAUUGUUCCAUGUUUUCCACCCUCUUGUGUCCCAUCAGCUUCAUAUAGUCUUUCAUUGGAGUGUUGCAAACACUCAUAGUUGUAAUUGCUAAAUGCCGAAUAUCUUUCGCUGAAAGGCUCAAACCUGGAGAAAAAAAACUAUGAGAAAACAAGAAAGCAAUUAGUUAACUACCUGUUUUUUCGGCAACCAAUUUUACUACUUCAGAGAUCUUAUGCUCUCCUAUCCGUGCCACUCGACAGUACCAAUUAUCAGUCCUGUUGAAACAGUCGUUACAAGCCAGGAAAAACGGUCGCUUGUUCAAGCCCCCCCAUCACCAACUGCUGGAUGCUUAUUAGAAAAAAGCUUGAAUGACUUGUAGACUAAGGGAGCAGCUAUUUCAUAGAGAUCCACAGCAGGCUGCUGAUCCAUGUUCUUACAAUUCAUCAGAUCCACUUCGUAGUUUUUGGAAACACGUUGGUUGAAUUUGAGACAAAAAAAAUUCUGAUUAGAACCGACAAGAACAAAGAAAACAAAUAAGAAACUACUCAACUGGAUAUAGCAACCAACAACAUCUUCCAAAAGUGUAAAAUCAGUGAAUCGCAAGUCAUACAAUUCCUUCCUCCCACGUACAAGAAAGAAAUUCAUGCAGAAUAGUACAACUAACCAAAACAGUCCAUUAGGACUGUUAGGUAGAAACUCUGGCAACGUGAGAAUUGCCUUAAGCUCAGCCAUCGACAAGUACACAUGCUUUGACCCUGUACUUGUUGGCCUUGUAGUUUCUAGUGCUGCUUUUCGAAUUACAUGGCUAGCAGUGUUCCUAGAAUAAACAAACCAAACCAAACAUAUUAGAACACAAACCACAACAAAAAGAACAAAAAAGGCAAGAUACCUUGCUGUAAGAAACCUUGGAUCAUUCAGGAUGUCAACUUCUUCUUCCAAAACUCCUGUUCUUGCAACUCAGGCUUCUCUUGCCAGCUUCAAUACUCGGUUAAAGCAAAAAAACAUAUCCCUCAGAGUUGUUGGAGGGUAAGGCUUCCCAUCGUCGCUCAAAACAUGCUUGUAGAACAAUGCAAGCUGGUGGGAAAGCUCCUACAGUUAGAGAAAGAUUUAGUCAUAAAAAUCAAAAGAAAAAAUAAGAAACAACCUUUGCAGGAAUUUCCUCAAUCAGUCUCAAAUCCUGUAAGGUAAAUUCUGGGCCCUGUGCCUCGUGCCAUGCAUAAAACUUCGAUGUUGCCUACUCAUUCUUCUUUCGGGUCCCUGUUGGUAUAACCAGUUUCAAUGGAUUCUCGUCCUCCUCAUUCGGAACAAUUGGUCAAAAAGGUUGGCGGCCAACCUGCAUCAACAAACAAUUUCAACAUGGAGUAUCUAAGCAAAAAGCACUUACCUCUCUCCGACCAUGCCGACCACGCCCACCACGCUCGCUGCGAUUCCUCCCAGGACAAACCUAUCAAACUCAAACGAUUGCAAGUGAGUUAGCAAGAAUACAUAAAAACUAGAGAACCGAAUUCAAGAAAGGAGCUGCGUUCUCAACAAGAUCAGGGGCAUUCUGGGACAAUCCCAAAUCAAAUGAAGGAGGAUCCAUCUACAGAUAGACAAAAUCGAGAGGAUUGAGAAGGAAAAACUAUGAAAUCCAGAGAAAACCAGGAAAUGAGGGCAAACCAGGAUUAUCAGCUCUCAAGCUGCUCUCGACGCAUACAAGCUCCUGCUGCCUUGAGCGCCACAAGAAACUGCUGCAAAAUUCCUGAAACACACGGACAAGGAGCAGAUCUGGAUCAAUCUAGUUGCUAUGCCUCAGAUCUGACCUUGGCAAGCUGCUGCUGCCCUACCGCUGCUGCUGACACCUUGCCGCUACUGCUUUGCCGCUACCACUGCCACUUCUGAGAGAAUCCGACAGCCUCACGGCGUCGGCACAAAAAACCCUAAAACCCUAGAAAACAUGUUAUAUAUGACUUUUAGCCACGUGUUCUAUGUUCAUUCGACCGCUCUCAUCCUCGAAUAACGUUAUUCCAUGUGUCCGUUAACGGUCUCGCCACAGCUUGUUAAGGCUGUUCCCGGGCACGGGCUUGCACGUUCCCUCCAGAACGCGCUCGCCGGGCUAAUGCCCGGCUCGCCCGUUCUAGGCGGGAACGUGCUCACCCUACUUAGGAACUCCUUCUUAACGGGCUGUGGCUCGCCCGUUAACUUGAUCCAGCCGUUGGCAGCCGUCGGAUCAAGUCAAGCUCUCUGCGAGAAUUUUACUGUUGUCAGCCACAUUCUGGAGAACGUGGCUGACAGGUACCAGAUUCUAGAGAACCCACCUGCCAGCCGCCAGGUUCUGGAGAACGUGGCUGCUGUCAUCUAGGUUCUAGAGAACUUGGCUGCCAGUAACCACGUUCUCCAAUCAGACGAGAUGCAAUUGCUUUUUUAUUUUUUAAUCAAAGUAAGCUUGAAUAAUUCAAGCUCACUUUGGCUAUGACCAUUGACUACAAUCACACAAUUACUCACAGAACAGUGGUGAAAUGUGCUAGUGAUCGUCGGUAGUGCUAAAGCUUUUGCAGCUCUUGGAUCUUUCGCAAGAGCUAAAAGUAGCUCAUUGUUGUCAAGAUCUACCAAAUAACAUCAAAAGUUAGAAAUAAAGAAUUCAAAUCAAAUAAACUUUAACUUUGUCUCCAGAAAUGGAUUCCUGCUGCUCGCCAUGCUCCGGCAUAGGCUCUGGCAUAGUCUCGUGCACAGUCUCGUGUUGCUUGUCGUGUCCACCUGAAACGAAGAAAAAACUAAAUUGAAAGAAAAAAGGAAAGAAAGAAUUUUCUUACCUUUCUGCUCUUCAAUCACGUCCAGAACUUGGUGGUGAUUCAGUUCCUGUUCGUGGAUCUCUUCUCUUGGAGAAGGCUGUUGCUGCCCAGAACCACCUAAAAUCGAGAAAAGAGAAAAGUCCAUUAUAAAGAUUAUAAAGUUUCUUACCAAAAUUUUGUUGUUGCUGCUCACGAUUUUGAGUCUGUUGAUUGUCAUUUCCACCUGAAUUGAAGAGUGUUAAACCUACACAAAAAAAAAAAGCUUUGAAUUACCAAAAGAAACAAGAUGGCAAUCUUGAAGAUCCAAUGGAUCUUCAUUUAAAGGUUUACCAGCAUCAUAGCACCAUACAAUAUACUCCGAUACUUUCCGAAAUUUGUCCUGGUAGUUUUUCAAACGACCAGUAUGAUCAUACCGGUUAUACAGAAUAGAUGACAUUGCCAUUCUCCUUGCUUUCCCAGAGUGAUCGUACCUGUUAAAAAAAGAGGCAUUAAUGACAAAAUGGUUAGCAAAAACCUUACUGUUCCAUGUUUUCCACCCUCUUGUGUCCCAUCAGCUUCAUAUAGUCUUUCAUUGGAGUGUUGCAAACACUCAUAGUUGUAAUUGCUAAAUGCCGAAUAUCUUUCGCUGAAAGGCUCAAACCUGGAGAAAAAAAACUAUGAGAAAACAAGAAAGCAAUUAAUUAACUACUUGUUUUUACAGCAACCAAUUUUACUACUUUAGAGAUCUUAUGCUCUCCUAUCCGUGCCCUUUGACAGUACCAAUUAUCAGCCUGUUGAAACAGUCGUUACAAGCCAGGAAAAACGGCCGCUUGUUCAAGCCCCCCCAUCACCAACUGCUGGAUGCUUAUCGAAAAAAAGCUUGAAUGCCUUGUAGACUAAGAGAGCAGCUAUUUCAUAGAGAUCCACAGCAGGCCGCCGAUCCAUGUUCUUACAAUUCAUCAGAUCCACUUGGUAGUUUUUGGAAACACGUUGGUUGAA
rnacentral:lncRNA from 1 species